rnacentral:rRNA from 1 species
UUAAGCUACUAAGGGCGUACGGUGGAUGCCUUGGCGCUAGAAGCCGAAGAAGGGCGUGGUACACUACGAUAAGCCUCGGGGAGCCGUGUGCAGGCGUUAUAUCCGGGGAUACCCGAAUGGGGAAACCCGCCUGAGCAAUACUCAGGCACCGCCCGCUGAACUCAUAGGCGGGACGGAGGGAACGGGGGGAACUGAAACAUCUUAGUACCUCCAGGAAAAGAGAUCAUUCCCUGAGUAGUGGCGAGCGAAAGGGGAACAGCCCAAACUGAUGUCACUCAGUGGUGUGCAGACCUAUGUGGCAUUGGGGUUGUAAGGCUCGGCAGGGCGACUGCAUGAGCCCAAAGGAGUUACAAAUCUGGUUGUUAGUCGAAUCCUACAGGAAAGGGGAACCACAGAGGGUGAUAGUCCCGUAGACGAAAACGACCAGACUCCUGCCGAUGACCUUGAGUACCACGGGACACGAGGAAUCCUGUGGGAAGCAGGGAGGACCACCUCCCAAGGCUAAAUACUUUCUAGCGACCGAUAGCGAACAAGUACCGUGAGGGAAAGGUGAAAAGAUCCCCGGUGAGGGAAGUGAAAUAGAACCUGAAACCGUAUGCCUACAAGCUGUCGGAGCACUAUGGCGUUACCUGAUACCAGAUGGAGCUGGGGCUCCCCCUUCGGGGGUUGAGCGUGAGGCUCCAAGGUCGCUCCUCCUUCGGGAGGAGUGCUAGGAACGCAAUGUGUGACGGCGUGCCUUUUGGAGAAUGAGCCGGCGAGUUACUCUUUGUCGCCAGGUUAAGGCAGUUACAGCCGAAGCCGUAGCGAAAGCGAGUCUGAUAAGGGCGUAGGAGUGGCAAGGAGUAGACACGAAACCAAGUGAGCUACCCAUGGCCAGGCUGAAGCGAGGCUAACCCCUCGUGGAGGGCCGAACCUUUCGCUGUUGCAAAAGCGUGGGAUGAGCUGUGGGUAGUGGUGAUAUGCCUAACGAACUUGGAGAUAGCUUGUUCUCCCCGAAAUAGCUUUAGGGCUAGCCUCGCGUGUUUAGUAUCGGAGGUAGAGCACUGGAUGGGCUAGGGGGCUUACAGCUUACCAAACUCAACCAAACUCCGAAUGCCGAUACUCAAAAGCGCGGGAGUCGGACUAUGGGAGAUGAGUUUCAUAGUCGAGAGGGAAAGAGCCCAGACCGACGGCUAAGGUCCCAAAGUUCAGGCUAAGUGGGAAACGAGGUGGGAUCGCUCGGACAGCCAGGAGGUUGGCCUAGAAGCAGCCAUCCUUUAAAGAGUGCGUAACAGCUCACUGGUCAAGUGGUCCUGCACGGAAAAUAUAACGGGGCUUAAGCCUGACACCGAAGCCACGGGCAGUUGAACGAGUUUCAACUGUGGUAGGGGAGCGUUCUGCGGGCGUAGAAGCCGUACUGUGAGGAGCGGUGGAGCGCGCAGAAGUGAGAAUGCCGGCAUGAGUAGCGUGAAACACGUGAGAACCGUGUUCGCCGUAAGUCUAAGGUUUCCGACGGAAGGUCAAUCCGCGUCGGGUUAGUCGGGCCUAAGCCGAGGCCGAGAGGCGUAGGCGAUGGACAUCCGGUUAAUAUUCCGGAACCACCUGAGAGGAGCGAUGGGGGGACGCAGCGUGGUAGGCCAGCCCGUUACUGGAUUCGGGUGCUAAGCCUAUAGGGUGACGAUGGGGGUAGGAAAAUCCGCUCCCGGAGCCUGAAAGGUGAUGGCGGUGCCAUAGAGCCAGAAGUGGUCGAGCCAAGCUGUCAAGAAAAGCCUCUAAGUGAUGAAUCUCGGGUGCCCGUACCGCAAACCGACACUGGUAGACGGGUAGAGUAUACCAAGGCGAACGGGAGAACCCUCGUUAAGGAACUAGGCAAAAUGACCCCGUAACUUCGGGAGAAGGGGUGCCCCGGUAGGGUGAUAGCAAUCGCUUGAGCCCGAGGGGGUCGCAGUGAAAUGGCCCUGCCGACUGGUUACCAAAACCACAGGUCUCUGCUAACUCGUAAGAGGAGGUAUAGGGGCUGACGCCUGCCCAGUGCCGGAAGGUUAAAGGGAGGGGUUAGCGUAAGCAAAGCUCUGAACUGAAGCCCCGGUGAACGGCGGCCGUAACUAUAACGGUCCUAAGGUAGCGAAAUUCCUUGUCGGGUAAGUUCCG